UCCUGAGACCUUGCUGUGCUAUGGUUGUGUCUGACCUUAGAACUGAGGCUGAUUCAAAUAUCUUGUAUCUUUUUGACUCCCAAGAAGAGCAAUGACACCAUCUAACUACCUCUCUCUUUUUCUCCCUCCCUCACACAAAUUAAUCACGAUCCAUACCCAGCAUAUACCACUGGGACACAUGAAGUGUUCUCUGAGUGUUCACUUUCUCUCCACCAUCCAAUCUCACAUUUCUUAUAGCAUUUUUUCUAGAGCUCUUUUUUAUCCUUAUUACAUUACAUCUUGUUUACUAUCUAUUUGUGCAUGUGUUUCAUCCCUAUGCAACCCCAAGUCCCAAUGCCUAUUGGUAUGGGAUUUUUCUCCUCAUUGGUAGAGAUCAAUGCCCAGAGCUUGAGCAAAGGCCACGGUGGAAUUGCUGAGAGCUAGAAUGGAGGUUUGGUCUCUUCAAGUUCUUGAGUUUUUUCAGGCUCUGCAAUCUCUUUGGGCUUUGCAGUUGCUUUGGGCACUUCUGGAUUCCAUUUUAAGAGAGAAGAAGUAUGAUGUAAUCCCUCUUCAAGUUGCUGAAAGGAGAAUAAGAAUCUGGGAAGAAACCAACAUGAGAAGAGCUGGCAGUUUCCAUCAGGAUCCUGCCCCACAUUGCUACUCUAGAGAUUAAGAGGAAUGCCCCCUCAGGGAGAUCUGGGAUUCUCUCCUGGUUGAGCUGAUUUAUCUUGCUCCCAAUGAAAGAGCACCUUCACUCUGUAUUGUCUGGGACUUCCUCCAGGCACAAGCCUCCAGCAUCUACACUGGCAUGCUCAGAACCUAAGAAUUCAUCUAAUUCAGGCAGAGAGAUAUUUGCCAUGGACUGCUGACUGAUGGGAAAAAGAAAUUCAAGGGAGGGAAACUAAAGACUAUCUCAUGUAAGUACCAGCAGAGAGAUAUGUGGGCUUUUGGAUGGCUCCUCUCUCCUUGCCUCCAUUUUCUAUGCAUCUGCAUUGAGGACUCCAUGGCAGAUCACACAAAGGAUUUCUCUGUAGGAGAAGGAAAGAGUCCACAGGCAUCCAGCUCCCCUUGGGCACACAGUCUCUGUUGAGUGGGUUGCUCAGAAUCCUUUGGCUCAAGUAACAUUGAGCAGCAGACGUGGCCAGUGGACCUUCAGCAGUCUUUCCUCCUGUUGCCAAGAACAUCUAGCAAAAAACCAUCACUAAAUUAUCUAUAAGAUUCUGCAGCAAUAAAGGACCGUGAAAAGAGGCUGACCAUGUCUUCAUCCUCCUGUACUGCAGUGAUGUUGAUGAUGAUAGCCCAUAAAUGACAGGUAUAUAACUGGAAUCAAGGUUAGAGUUACCUAGGUAUCAUAAAGGCAUAAAAGCAUUGAACUUCGGUUAAGAAGAAACAUCAACACUGACAAGAUAAGGAAUAUUUAUUACUCAGGUGUCUUUUGCAAAUUUCUUUUUGCUUUAAUACAGCUAGAGUAUAUCAGUUUAAGAUACCAGGAGUAUAAAUCAGUGACAAAGUAUUAGCUUCAUUGAAACCAUAGUGCCCCUUAAUGUACAGGUUAUGAAAUGGUGUAUCACAAAUCAUAUCAUUAAGUCAUCCUUUUUUUUUUUAUUAAUGUAGGUUCCUUCCACAUUGGAGAGAUCCCAUUUGCUAACAAUAUCCCUAUUUUCCUGCCAAAUGUUAUAGUCAUGACCACUGAUAAGAGCUCCAUAUUUGCCAUCUUUGGUGGGAUGUCCCUCCUGAACAGCGUCCAUAUAUGCCUAAAAUUGCUGAUGACAGUUAUGAGCUUUUUUGCCUACUUAUCUGUGUGCCUUCUACAUGACCCUAAAUUAGGCCUUAGAAGGUAUAGCAUUUAAUAGAGAUUCUGGGCACAAUAUACCUUCUCACAAUUAGUAGAAAGUGCUGUUUUGUAAUUAAAGGGUGAAGUGGGGCAUGAUGAACAUAUGGAAAAGGAGACCCUUAAUAAGUGAUGGAGCCUUCAAAAGAAAUUGCUAAUUAGUAUGCAUUUGAUGUGCACUAUACCAAUUUUAAGACUUUGCCUUGAAUAAAUUGCUAUGUUGGGUGUUCGAAGGAGUGGUGAGAUUAGCAUUUACAAAGGGGGCAAUUUUCUGUCUUCUUGACUCUGUUAAAUGGAGGAAAUAACUUCCAAGACUGGAGCAGUAGUUAGCCCAUCAAUCAUUCUCACAGCUGGAAACUGGGGAUCCCAAAUGCUGAGAUCAGUUAAUCCGUCAGCUAAUAAGUUCAUAGUGGCACCAUAUGGCGCAGGGCCACUCCACACUGGGGCAAGGACAGAACUGUUUACACAGGCAUGCUGCUUUCUCAGGUAGCUCCCUGCUGACAAAGCCCUUUGUUCUGAAGGAUCAAUUUACUUUGCACAGUAAAUUGACUGAAUUGAUCAGUUCAGAGCAUAUAAUUGUUAGCUAAUCCUUUGGAAUCAUGUCCCAUCCAUAUGGGAGGCACAAAGAGGUGCUGCUAGUGGCCUAGUUCCUUGCUCCAUCCCAGAAGCUAUUUUCACUGGACAUGAUGGACCCCGAUUAAUAUGAUCAAUAGGUAGAUGUGUGAUCUGUAUUGACUUCAAAUGACAGAGGACCCCCCCUUACUCUCAGAAAGGCUAUAUAAGGUAUCUUGGCACUAUUGGAAUCAUAACCUGACUCGAGAUAAAAACUGGGCCAGUUCAAGCAAUUUAACAGCUGAGCUCCUUUCCUCCUAUACUUGCCCCAAAUGACCAAGAGGUGCUGCUAUACCCACAAAUCAAAGCAGGCAGGUCACUGCCAUUGGUCUCAAAGUUAACCCAACCACUAAAGAUAGUGAAAAAAGAGAAGAGAGAAUAGAGCAGAGGAGAGGAGAGAAAACAGAUUCAGGAAUUACACGGACAAAAUCAAAGACUUAGAAAAUUGAGGCAGAAACACAAUUGUUAGGCACCCUGAAAAAGUGACUAAGCAUAUUCACAGCUAUGCCUAUGGAUGGGAAACUACAUCAGAGACUUUCAUUGCAAAUUAAAGCAAAAACCCCUGCUCCCCCUUACACCCUGUGAAGUGGUCUAAACGCCAUAGCUUUAUUCUAUGCAUGUGUUUGAUCUGACUUUGUGUUUUUCUACUCACAUACAAAAUAGAUGAAGAAUAAAUAAAAAUUUAUAAAUUCAGACAACUGA